AGAGAGAGAGAGAGAGAAGAGAGAGGCUGACAAGCGAAGAAGAACAGGAUUUUCUGCGUGCAAGUUUGGUUUGUUGUCGUCUUCUCUUUGUUUUUUUUCUUUUUGUUUACUAA
rnacentral:ribozyme from 1 species